rnacentral:rRNA from 1 species
CCUACGGGAGGCAGCAGUGAGGAAUAUUGCGCAAUGGGCGAAACCCUGACGCAGCGACGCCGCGUGAAGGAUGAAGGUCUUCGGAUUGUAAACUUCUUUUGUCGGGGAAGAUAAUGACGGUACCCGAUGAAUAAGCCACGGCUAACUCUGUGCCAGCAGCCGCGGUAAU